rnacentral:rRNA from 1 species
AGAGAGAGACAUGCGCGCAUAUCAAUAAGCGGAGGAAAAGAAACUAACUAGGAUUCCCUUAGUAACGGCGAGUGAAGCGGGAAGAGCUCAAAUUUGAAAUCUUCAAGGUUUACCUUGACGAAUUGUAGUUUAAAGAAGUGUUCUCUGUUAGUGAGUUGGCUAAAAGUUCUUUGGAAUAGGACAUCAUAGAGGGUGAGAAUCCCGUAUUUGACCAUUAUUUCCAGCUUUGUGAUACACUUUCAAAGAGUCGGAUUGUUUGGGAAUGCAGUCCAAAAUGGGUGGUAAAUUUCAUCUAAAGCUAAAUAUUGGCGAGAGACCGAUAGCGAACAAGUACCGUGAGGGAAAGAUGAAAAGAACUUUGAAAAGAGAGUUAAACAGUACGUGAAAUUGUCAAAAGGGAAGCGUUUGACACCAGUGUUGUUUUCUCGAAAAUCAAUUAAAAAUGGCAGGAUUUUGUGUUGUAUUGACUUUAUCAGCUUUCUGCACUUUUUCUUGUCUUUUUUAAUGCACUUUUCGUUUAACAAGUCAACAUCAAUUUCUUUUGUUGUAAAAGGGUCAUUGGAAGGUGGCUUUCUUUUCGGAGAAAGUGUUUAUAGCCUUUGGCCUCUGCAAUCGGAGAGAUUGAGGUCUGCAGCGUAGAUCCUUCGGGGUUAGAUACAUUUGUGCUAAGUUAUAGCCUUUCAUAGACAACUUGUUGACUAUGAUCAGUCAUGUAGCUUACUCGCUUAUGUCUAUUUUACCUACGCUUAGGAUGUUGACAGCAGUAUAGACUGU